CUGCUGGCCGGCCGGCAGCAGCGCCGCUCGGAGGCCGCUCCCAGGCGAGGAGAGGAGCGAGCUUCACCUGGCAGAUGGGCCCGGGGGCCCGACCUCCCAGGCUCUCCCCGACUCCCCCCAGAGCUGGAAGACCUGCCGGGCGGGCGCCGAGGACCCCCCAGCGAGCCUCCCCGCCCCAGUGGACACUGUGUCCUGACGCCCAGCCCGGAGCCCGGGGUUCAGAGCGCGGGCUGAGCCAGGCAAACCUCCUCAACCUGCCCAAAGGGACGGGAGCCCUCCAUCCGGAGAAGGCGCCAGGGAAAAGGACGCUGUGCUUCCUCGGCUUCCCACCCGGCCCCUCGUGCUGCGCUCAGCUCUGGAGCCCAGAGAGGGUGGUGGAGCCGCCCAGCUCCCUGCGGCUCCUCGGUCCGGUCAGACAGGAGCUUGGUCCCCAGAGCCAAGCGAAUGUGGCAGGAAAUCUCAUUUCUUUCCCUUUUAGUGCACGAGUUUGAGGACUGUUCAACAAAGUCUCGGUUUUCUCAUCGGUAAAAGGCAACAAUUUCCAGGGUGGGCCAUCAGGAGGACUGGGGAUACAUUAUAAGAUCAAUAGCACUGAGUGCUUGGUAGCUAGUACUGGUACUGAGGUCACUACUGGUUUCAUAGUCCUUUGACCUUUCUUAUGCUAAUGCUUUUCAGCAGGCAGGUGGGUGUUCUGGGUUGAAAAGUGUGGGGUGUGGCCUGCCCUGUGAGUGUGAGUUCCCCAACCUGGUCACCUCCUUGUUCUCAACUCCCCGUCUGCAAGGGGAGGGGUGGCAGCUGCUUGCUUCCCCUGCUCAUGCCCUGACCCAGCCAAAGGCCUGGCACAGCUGCUGGAGUGGCCCAAAUGCCUUGGGUUUAGGGCUAGGUAGAG
rnacentral:lncRNA from 1 species